CCUACGGGUGGCUGCAGUCGAGAAUCAUUCACAAUGGGGGAAACCCUGAUGCAGCGACGCCGCGUGAGUGAAGAAGGACUUCGUUAUGUAAAGCUCUAUCAGCAGGGAAGAAAAUGACGGUACCUGAGUAAUAAGCGCCGGCUAACUCCGUGCCAGCAGCCGCGGUAAUACGUAGGGGGCAAGCGUUAUCCGGAUUUACUGGGUGAAAAGGGAGCGUAGAUGGCAGUGCAAGGCUGGUGUGAAAGGCGGGGGUUCAAUCCCCGGAUCGCUCCGGAUACUGGACGACUGGAGUGCGGGAGAGGUAAGUGGAAUUCCUGGUGUAGCGGUGAAAUGCGUAGAUAUAAGGAGGAACACCAGUGGCGAAGGCGGCUUACUGGACUGUAACUGACGUUGAGGCUCGAAAGCGUGGGGAGCAAACAGGAUUAGAUACCCGGGUAGUC
rnacentral:rRNA from 1 species